UUUUUUUCUUUUCUGAAUCUCACCCUUUCUUCAUUCACUUCUUUCACAACCCUUUUUAUUUUUUCAUUUUUUUCGAAUUCUUUCUUCUUCAUUCACAAAAACGCAGUUUGCUCGUCGUGACCUAGUUUUCUCUCGACAAAUCUUCGCUUUCUCUGCAAAUCUUCUAUUAGUGUGACCUAGGUUCUCUUUACAAAUCUUCAUCCUUUAUCACCAUCACCACUCCGAGCGUGUCACGAAGUGUUCCAUGCUGUCACGGGAAUCCCCUUCUACUAGAAACGGGCACCAUCGCGCUGAGUUGGUCAAUUGCGAUGGCUAACUACCUCAAAUCGACGCCAUUUCACUUUCUCCGAUGAAAACUGCAUCAGGAAUGCUGGGUUCUUAAUCAAAUCCAAGUGCUCGAUAAAUCACUAUUUGAGGCAAACGACUUUGUCCUAUGGGUUGGAGAUGUAUGAGAGAAUGUUCGGGGUUGAGGAGAAGUUGAAGAGGUUAAGAUGGAGAAGGUUCUUAGAGGAUUUUUGUCAAGGAAGAAAAUACCAUUGUUAAGUUGCAUACUUCGUUAGGCAAGAAUCAGCCCUGAUUUGUAUGGAGACAAGAACACUAGACUCUUGACUUAUUGGACAGUGAGUUAUCAAUUCAAGCACCCAAAUCUUUUCCUUUCCUCUUAGUAGUUUUGUAUUUUUUAUUCACUUGAUUGAAUUGUUUCACAACCAUGACAGAGUGAUACAUAUCAAGCUACUGGUUGUUAUAAUCUCCUUUGCUCUACCUUUAUUCGAAUUAACAAUGAUAUAGCUCUGGUUGUUAUAUCCUAUUUUAUGUAUUAUCUCUUGAUAUUGGACAUUUUAGCAUGAAAAUAUGUCCAAUAUCAAGAGAUAAUACAUAAAACAAACAUUAUUUUUUGCAGACCACUACAGUCUUGCAUGUUUAAUUAUUUCCUUGCUCAUAACUCAUACAUGUUUAAUUAUUUCCCUUAGUUGUUGAAUUUGGUGCUCACAUUGAUUCAUGACUUGGAUCUGAUUUCUUGGUCUGGUGUAUGAAUUAUGAAAAGCGUUAUUCUCUGUUCUAAUUUGUUUUUCAUGCUAUGAAAUGCAUUCCAAUCAUCUCAAUCACAUUUCAAUGCUGAAUUCUGGUUUAAAGAACAACCUUUGUUGUAGUUGAAGUGCCUAGAGAUAUUGCUUGUAGUGCUUCUUCUACAAAUCUAUGUUCUGUUGCUGAUCAGAUUUCUUGGUUCAGUGAUAGAAAAAAUAUUUUGUAUUUUAACAUUUUAAACAUCAUCGUUCCCAUUUUAAACAAGGAAUAAUGUUGGUGUCAGACCAAGAGACCCUACGAAGCAGAUGCAUGAAUGCUUUUCAUAUUUAACCUGGAUAUGUAUAAAC